rnacentral:rRNA from 1 species
GACAGAGGGUGCAAACGUUGUUCGGAAUUACUGGGCGUAAAGGGCUCGUAGGCGGCCAACUAAGUCAGACGUGAAAUCCCCAGGCUUAACCUGGGAACUGCGUCUGAUACUGGAUGGCUUGAAUUCGGGAGAGGGAUGCAGAAUUCCAGGUGUAGCGGUGAAAUGCGUAGAUAUCUGGAGGAAUACCGGUGGCGAAGGCGGCAUCCUGGACCGACAUUGACGCUGAGGAGCGAAAGCUAGGGGAGCAAACGGG